rnacentral:rRNA from 1 species
AUGAACGCUGGCGGCGUGCCUCAUACAUGCAAGUCGAGCGAACGGACGAGAAGCUUGCUUCUCUGAUGUUAGCGGCGGACGGGUGAGUAACACGUGGAUAACCUACCUAUAAGACUGGGAUAACUUCGGGAAACCGGAGCUAAUACCGGAUAAUAUUUUGAACCGCAUGGUUCAAAAGUGAAGGACGGUCUUGCUGUCACUUAUAGAUGGAUCCGCGCUGCAUUAGCUAGUUGGUAAGGUAACGGCUUACCAAGGCAACGAUGCAUAGCCGACCUGAGAGGGUGAUCGGCCACACUGGAACUGAGACACGGUCCAGACUCCUACGGGAGGCAGCAGUAGGGAAUCUUCCGCAAUGGGCGAAAGCCUGACGGAGCAACGCCGCGUGAGUGAUGAGGGUCUUCGGAUCGUAAAACUCUGUUAUUAGGGAAGAACAUAUGUGUAAGUAACUGUGCACAUCUUGACGGUACCUAAUCAGAAAGCCACGGCUAACUACGUG